UUGUGGAGGAGGACGCCGAAGGUGGGGCUAAUGACUGGGGUGAAGUCGUAACAAGGUAGCCGUACCGGAAGGUGCGGCUGGAUCACCUCCUAACAGGGAGACAACAAAAUGUUUAAAAUUAUUAUUUUGUCACCUUAGGUCGAUCGGUAUCUCACGUUCUUAAUUUAUUAAGAAUUUCAUUUCCUAAGUUUUUCUAGGUCACACCCAUUAUUUUUCCUGGGCCAUUAGCUCAGGUGGUUAGAGCGCACCCCUGAUAAGGGUGAGGUCCCUGGUUCAAGUCCAGGAUGGCCCAUAUCUCUAUGUUGGGGGUAUAGCUCAGUUGGUAGAGCGCCUGCUUUGCAAGCAGGAUGUCAGCGGUUCGAGUCCGCUUACCUCCACUGAUUACCACCUCUUCCAUAACCGGUAGAAAGGAAAUGUUUUGAGUUGUGAUCAUCAUUCUGAACGAAUCUAGCUUCCUAAUGAAAUUAUUAAGAUGCUGGACUCAUUGAAUUAUUUUCAUUGUUUUCAGAGAACCUUGACAACUGCAUAGAUUAUUUUUAAAGACAAUAAGCAUCUUUAAUGAUGCAGAUUUAUUAUUUGUGCGAAUGCAUUAAUAACAAUUCUAUUAAGCUGAUGCUUCAAUUUUGAAGUUAUUGGUCAAGCUACAA
rnacentral:misc_RNA from 1 species